UGGGCCGUGUUAUGUGUGUGGGCUCUGUGUUCUCUCAUAUAAUCAAGCUCAAGAGUUACUGACCUAUGCCUCGGUUUCAUCGUGUUCUUUCUUCUCUGCCGCCCAAAAGCUUGAGAUGUUGUAGUCGGCGUGACGAUUACUUUUGUAGGGUUUCGAUUGCAUCCUUUGAACUCCUUUUCCAUCAAUUGAAAUUAAAUCACUUACAGAUUCAUCGCACUAAACAUCUUCUUAACUCCUUUAGCCACGAUCUAUACUUUAAUGUGAAGUUAUCUUCUGCGAGGCGGUGAUCUACAGGUAUAAAAAGUUGGGUAGAUGUUCCUCCACCGCUGAGGUUAGGUUACGGUUGUGGGACAGGAAUGUCAAGCAAAAUCUGGAACCGAGAAAGAUGAAGAAUUGAGACUUAUAAGAUCGUUCGUAAAACAAAAUCGCAGUAAGCCUUCUUUUUAGAUCUUGCAUUUGUUCUUCAUUGAUAUAUUUUCUCACAAUUGGCCAAUUCUUUUUUGAACUUCUAAUAUAAAACAAACGCGGAGUACGUAAGUGGCAUGUGACUAGAGAGAGAGAUGGAAGGCGACGGAGCAAGCGGCGGAGAGAAACGAAGAAAGCGGCGGAGAACGAUGGAGUAAGCGGUGGAGAACAACGCAGCAAAGGCGCAUAACAAUGAACAAGCGGCGUUGAGAUGGAGCAAGUGACGGAAAGAGUGAGAUGGAAGCCAUGGAACAAGUGAAAGAGAGUGUGACGAGAGAUAGAUAAGGCAAUUGCUGCAAUUCAACCAGGCACGAGGGAUUUUGAUAGGCUCUCGGACAGGAUACUCAUGAUAAGAAGAUGACACCUAUUGAAGAUAUCAAAUCUCUAAACAUGAAAACAUAACCACGGGGAUGAUUGAAGAUCCGUUUGUUGAUACUGAAAAGAGCUGCAUACUGCAUUGGAUGACGCUAGGAAAAGGCUUCGUGUAAUAGAAGGCUGAAGCUUCUUUGUGGAAAGACACCGCUUUUAUAGUCUCUGAACAUUUUGUCUUCUCUGAUAGAACUGUUAGUGUGAAACGAAUUACAAGGAGUGUCCUUAUGAGCUGGACAGACGGCUACACGAGCUCACGGAGACAAGACAUAAAAGAGCUGAAGACUGCAUUGGAAGAAGCUAAGAACAGGCUUCAUGUGACAGGUUGAAGCUUCUUGGUGGAAAGACACUGCGUAUAUAGUCUCUGAACAUAUACCAGAACUGUUUAGAAUCAACUUCAACUAAUCGUCAUUAUCCUCUCUUUAGGACCAAGGCGAAAUGUGUUUCUGCCUAUUCACAAAAGGAAUCUAAGUUAGCUCUCUCGACCUGCCGCAUCGCUUGUGUAGAUGUAGUACAUGACUGUGAUGAAAACGAAGCAUGAUGAGUUCAACUUCCUUAACUCACCAUAAAAUAAGAACAGUGACUUGCAUAAAACCAUAUGACUCCAAAAUUUCUAACCUGCUAUCGAACUCCUAGAAUGAGAACAAAAUUUAGCAAACACUUAUCCCCCACAAGAGUAUACUGGAGUAUAUAUGUCAGCAAAACUGGCCUACCAACAGAGUUUAACAUAUGUAAAUCUUAGUUUCCACAAAAAUCAUUACCAUUGUAGAGAUUCAAGCAAAAGCUUCAACCACCAAGCCA